UAUGAGCUAGCCUCUGAAAAGAGGAUCUCUUUUGUAUGAAGGCUGCUUCUUGAGAAGAAGGAGUUUGUAGUUAGAUACUCUAUCAUCAGUUUGGUGAAUCAAUCUUUUCCAGUAUGUAUUUAUUGAUAUUCCUAAUGGUACUUUGUCUGGUAUUGCAAAGAAUUUAUCAGAAGAAAAUGUACUUCUUCCAAAAUGUUUCUUCCAAGAGCUGAUUAUGUCUUAGUGUUGCUUGUUGUCCCAAUUUCUUUUUUUGCAUACUGGUUUGGAAGUAGAUCAAGUAGAACUGAAAUGAAGCAAGUUCAAAACCAUGCGGAUCAAUGCCCAAAUGGAGGAAAAGAAAAGAAAGAUCUGGUGUGGAUCCUAAUCUGACGUGACUGCAUAAAUCAAGAGCAGUGUUAUGGAUGACUGUAGACUCGCACUGGAAUAAUAGCAGCAGAACUCCAACAGCAAUUUCUGAGCUCCAGUACAGCAGGAAUAUCAAGGAGAG